rnacentral:rRNA from 1 species
UACGUAGGGUGCGAGCGUUAAUCGGAAUUACUGGGCGUAAAGCGUGCGCAGGCGGUUCGUUGUGUCGGCGGUGAAAGCCCCGGGCUUAACCUGGGAAUGGCCGUCGAAACUGGCGAACUGGAGUGUGGCAGAGGGGGGUGGAAUUCCGCGUGUAGCAGUGAAAUGCGUAGAGAUGCGGAGGAACACCGAUGGCGAAGGCAGAUCUCUGGGCCGUAACUGACGCUGAGGAGCGAAAAGCAUGGGGGAGCGAACAGG